GUUAUGUUUAUAGAAAGCUAAAGAAGACACUCUAGAAACGGGAAAUUAUAAAAAGAAAAAACACUGUAGCAUCAGAUGCCUCUAUAAACCAAUAAGAAAUACAUCAGAACAGUGCUGACUACCUCCAAUGCUUUCCAUACCCUUCCUCCACCUGCCAUGGCAAGGAGCAAUGAUGGGUUCCUCUCCAAGUAUACCCAGAAAAAUUAUAGGACUGGCCAAAGUGGAAAGUGACAAGGAGAAACAGAUACCAAUAACAGGCCUCCAGUCAAAGCUACAUACCACAGGGAAGAAUUCCUUCUCAUAGGACCCUGGGUUUGGGGAAGUGGGCUGAUGCAGCAAUUAAUGACAGAUGUCCACCACUCCUACCCCUCAUCUCAAACACACAGUGCACUCAAUACCAUCACAACUUUCUUUCAGAAUACUUUACAUAAACAGAAUACUUUACAUAAGCUUGCUUACUUGUUUUCCCCCUUACAGAAGAGUAAGUCCAUAAGGCCCAGGUCCAGCUCAUCUACUCACCAUGGAAUUGCAGGGCUUAUUACAGUAGAUACUUAGUUCAUACAUGUGGAAUGAUUGAAUGACUGAAUGAAUUGUGUCCCCAGAUACUCUCAUUUAAAUGAAAAUUAUCAAAUGCUUCUGUUUUUAUCAGUUGAGUUAAAGAUGUAACCACUUUUUUAAAAAAUUAAUUCUCCAUUAAGAUAGUUUAGCAUUUAAGUUAUGGCAUAUGACUAGGAGUUUGAUUUUUUAAAAGUAUUUUUUGCAUUUUUAAAAUAUUUUAUUUAUUUAUUUAGUGUGUGCUGAGAAUCAAACUCAUUGCCUUGCACACGUUAGGCAAGCGCUCUACCACUGAGCCAUAACCCCAGGCCCUGUUUGAUUCUUUUCUAUGAUAAGGAUGGAUUAUUAAAGUCAUCAUUCAAUAUUUAUUUUUCAGAUAUAUGAAGCUUGUCUACUCAGAUUCAAAGGUUUUGUCUUUUCUCUAUAUCAGUCAAGUCUCUUUUCAUAAAUGAGAAAUAUUAAAUAAAUGGCUUCUCUCAUAAAAUAAAGAGGCAACUAGCAGAAAUAAUCUGAAGCUUCUAUGAAAAAGCUUUUUAUUAGUGCCUAAAAUAAUAAAUACCAUUUGCAAAUCAAAACUAUGUGCUGUGAGCUUUACAAGUGUUCCCAGUCCCUGUUCAGUGUGUGAACAAAUGCCAAAUGUAUUCAGUAAGUGAAGGCUCAGAGGCAGCAAGACACUGUCCAUGCCCUCCUGCUGGUGACAAAGCAGGGCUCUCCACACAGGUCAGGCCACACCAGCACUCACAGUUAGUUUUUUUUACUACUGAAUCAUUACCAGUUACUCCAGCGCAUCCUGAAUCUUCUCUGAAUUUCAUAGUUCAUCAAAUAUAAGAUGCUAUCAGUUGAAGUUAAUGUACUACUGUAUCAAAUGUGCAAUAUUGCUAAUUAAAGUUAUGUAGCACUUUCAAUUAGAAAAUAUGUCAAUUUGAGAAAUGUUCAAAUGUGCACAUUUAUAUCUACAUUCAUUCUUUCUCUCACACACCACAUACAUUGUAGCUUCAAUAGAACACAGAAAUCCACUAGGUUAAUAAUCCAAUAGCCAAAUUAUUCCUUAAAAGAAAAUCUAAAAGCUUCUCAAAAUACUUUAGAAAAUUUUGCCAUGACGUACAGAAAAAGAAAGACAAAUCUUAAGAAUGAAUAAAACAAUGGGAAACUGCAUACUGUUUAAAAUUGUUUCUCCUCAUCUAUGGCAGUAAACCAUUUGUUUAUAAUGUAGAGUUGUUAACAUUUUUUCUAUCCAUAAACAUGACCAUUGCUUAUUCAUAUUUCAUUCACUCAAGAACACAAAAAAGCAGUAAGCACUUUUAAAAGAAUAUUCCAUUAAAAGUGGAUUUUAAAUCUGCUUGUUUUUCUUAACUUUUAUUUGUUUUAUCUAAAAGCUAAGGAAAGUAAUAGUAAUUUCUCACUCCAUACCAAAGAAAAAUAUGCCCUGUUGCUGAACACAGUGCUGUCAAUAUAGAAUCAAAGACAACCACCAACACUUUAAAAGCAUUCUCCUUGAAUGACCAACUGGAGAAGCACCAAUUUUCAGGGCUUCUUUUCUCUUCCUCAGAAAGUGCUCGCAUCAUAAAACCACACAGUGUCUAUCCCCUCUCCAGUAACGUGAGCUAACACCAGGCUCCUCAAAUGUUCCAUAAAAUAGAAAAGGAGGGAACCCUUCCAAAGUUGUUCUAAGAAGCUAGUAUCACCCUGAAUCUAUAACAAAAGACAUAUCAAGGAAAGAAAACUUAAGACCGAUAUCUCUGAUGAACAUAGAUGCAAAAAUUGUUAACAAAAUAUUGGAAAAUUACAUACAAAAACAUUUAAAAGAUAAUGCACUGGAUUCAAUUGGGGUUCACUCCAGGGAUAUAAUGUGGGUUCAUCAUAUGGAAAACAAUGUAUGUAAUUCACAACAGCAAUAAACUUAAAGACAAGAAAUACAUGAUUAUCUCAAUAGAUGGAAAAAAAGCAUUUGACAAAAUUUACUAUCCAUUCAUGUUUAAAACCCUAGAUCUAAGGACACUAGGUAUUUUUCUCAACAUAGCUAUAUAUAUUAAACCAAGGUCAACAUCAUUGUAAAUGGAGAAGAAUUGACAGCAUUCUCUCUACAAACUAGAAUAAGACAGGGAUACCCUCUUUCAUCACCUUUAUUCAAUAUAGUUCUAGAAACUCUACCAGAGCAAUCAGGCAAAAGAAAGGAAUUAAAGUGAUACCCAUAGGAAAAGGUGACUCAAGCUAUCUCUGCUUGCCAAUGAAAUGAUCCUAUAUUUGUAAGACUCCAAAAAUUCCACUAGAAAACUUCUAGAUCUCAUUAAAUUUCCAUCAAAUUAGCAGGAUGUAAAAUUAACAUCCAUAAAUCAAUUGCAUUCCUAUACAGUAAAGAUGAAUCUGCUGAAAGAAAUUAUGAGAACUAUCCCAUUCACAAUAGUCUCAAAGAAAAUAAAGUAUCUGGCAAUCAAUCUAACCAAAAUGAAAGACUUCUACAAUAAAAGCUACAGAACACUAAAGAAAGAAACUAAAGACCUUAGAAGAUGGAAAUAUCUCCAAUGUUCUUGGAUAGGCAGAAUUAAUACUAUCCAAAUGGCCAUACUACCAAAAGUUCUAUAUAGAUUUAAUGCAAUUUCUAUUAAAAUUCCAGUGAUGUUCUUCAUAGAAAUAGAAAAAAAAAAAAAAAAAAAAAGAAUCAUGGCAUUCAUUUGGGAACAUAAGAGGCCCAGAAUAUCCAAAGCAAUCCUUAGCAAGAGAAGUAAAGUAGAAGGCAUCACAAGACCAGACCUUAAAAUUAUGCUACAGAGCUGUAGUAACAAAAACAGCAUGGUAUUGGCAUCAAAACUGAAUUGAAGACCAAUAGAACAGAAUAGAAGAUGCAGAGACAAACCCACAUAAAUACAGUUAUGUCACACUAGGCAAAAGUGCCAUAAACACAUUGGAGAAGAUGCCCUCUUCAACAAACGGUGCUAGGAAAACUGGAAAUCCAUAUGUAGCAAAAUGAAAUUUUACCCAUAUCUCUCACCUUUAAAAAAGAAAAUCAACUCAAAGGGAAUCAAAUACCUAGGCAUUAGAUCAGAAUCCUUGCACUGGCUAUUAGAAAAUGUAGGCCCAACACUCCAUAUUGGCUUAGGAACCAACUUUCUCAACAAGAUUCCUAAAGCACAAGAAGUAAAAUCAACAAUCAAUAAGUGAGAUGGUAUUAAACUGAAAAGUUUGACAGCAAAGAAAACAGUCAAGAACAUGAAGAGGAACCUGCAGAAAGGGAGAAGAUCUUUGCCAUCUGCACUUCAGAUACAGCAUUAAUCUCCAGGCUAUACAAAGAACUCAAAAACCUUAACACAUGCAUGCACAUGCCCGUGCGCGUGUGCACACGUGCACACACACACACACACACACAGCCAAUCAAAAAAAUUCAAUCAAUAAAUGGGCAAAGGGAAUGUAACAAUCACUUCUUAAAAGAAGAAAUAUGAAUGGUCAACAAAUAUAUGAAAAAAAUGAUCAACAUCUCUAGCAGUAGGAAAAUGCAAAUUAAAACUAUACUGAAAUUUUAACUCGCUCCAACCAGAAUGGCAAUCAUCAAGAAUACAAGUAACAAUUGAUGUAGAUGAGGAUGUAGGGAAAAUUGGCCACUUAUAGGUUGUUGUUGGGACCACAAAUCAGUAUAACCACUCUUGAAAACAGUAUGGAGAUUUCUCAAAAAACUAUGAAUGGAACCUCCAUUUUACCAGUUAUCCCACUCCUGGGUAUAUAUCCAAAGUAUUUAAAAUAAUCAUACUACAUCAAUAGUUGUAGUAGCAGAAUUCACAAUAGCUAAACUAAUGAACCAACCUAGGUGGCAAUCAACAGUCGAAUGGACACAGGAAAUGUGGUAUAUAUACACAAUAGAAUAUUACUCAUCCAUAAUGAAGAAUGACUUUAUGACAUUUGCCAUUGAGUGUAUGGAACUGGAGACUAUCAUGCUAAGUGAAAUAAGGCAGUCCUAAAAAAUACAAAGGAUGUGGAUGCUAACCCACAACAAGUGGGGUUGGUGGGGAUGAACAGAAAUUCAGUGGAUUAUACAAAGGGGAAUGAAGGAAAGGGAGUGGGGAUAGGAAUAAAAAUUUGAAACUCUAGCCAGAGCAAUUAGAAGAAAGAAAGUGGAUCAAAGAUUUAGGCACUAGAACAGAAAUGCUGCAUCUAAUAGAAGAAAAAGUAGGCUCAAGUCAACCUAGGAUCUGACUUUCUUAACAAGACCCCUAAUGUGCAAGAAGUAAAAUCAAGAGUCAAUAAAUGGGAUGGAUUCAAACUAAAAAGUUUCUUUACAGCAAAGGAAACAAUAAUAUGAGGAGAGAACCUGUAGAUUGGGAGAAAAUCUUUACCACAUGGAUCUCAGAUAAAACAUUAAUCUCUAGGAUAUAUAAAGAACUCAAAAAACGUAACACCAAGAAAAUAAACGCAAUCAAUAACUGGGCUAAGAUACUGAACAGAUAUUUCACAGAAUAAUAAAUAGAAUCAAUCAACAAAUAUAUGAAAAAAAGUUCAACAUCUCUAGCAAUUAGAGAAAUGCAAAUCAAAACUACUCUAAGAUUUCAUCUCACUCCAGUCAGAAUGGCAGUCAUCAAGAAUACAGGCAACAAUGUUGGUGAGGAUGUGGGAAAAAGGUACACUCAAUACAUUGCUGAUGAGACUGCAAAUUGGCACAACCACUAUGGAAAGCAGUAUGGAGAUUCCUCAGAAAACAUGGAAUGGAACCACCAUUUGACCCAGCUAUCCCACUCCUCAGUUUAUACUCAAAGGACUUAAAAUCAGCGUGUUCCAGUGAUGCAGCCACGUCAAUGUUUAUAACAGCGCAAUUCACAAUUAAUAAACUAUGGAACCAACCUAGGUGUCCUUCAGUAUAUUAAUGGAUAAUGAAAAUGUGGUAUAUAUUCAAUGCAGUAUUACUCAGCUUUAAAGAAGAAUGAAAUUAUGGCAUUUGCUGGUAAAUGGAUGGAGUUGGAGAAUAUCAUGCUAAGCGAAAUAAGCCAAUCCCCCAAAACAAAGGCAGAAUGUUUUCACUAUUAUGCAGAUGGUAAUUCAUGAUGGGGGACGGACACUAGAGAAGAUUAGAGUUACCUUAGAUUAGAUGGGAGUCAA
rnacentral:lncRNA from 1 species